CUAACGGCUGAAAGGAAAAGACGUACAUAUGCCGGCGUGAAAAGGAGCUAUGGAGCUCCUGCGACCAAAACAGCACCUUCGCGAAAGUAGGCAGCUCCCUGGCCCGCUCAUUACAGUGUAUAAAUAGGACCGCAGAAGAAGAUUAAGUUGAAGAGAUGGCAUAAAAAGGACAGCAUUCUGUCACAGCUUCCUGAGCUCCACAAUCUCCAGUAAAAUUGUGAAUUUAGCUUCUUAAUGGUAUAGAAGUUAUGGAUGGCUUAAAAUCAAAUGCUUAAAAUUCACUCCCAGAGAAUAUGGAAUUGGUCUUAGAAGAAAGUGAACUUUGGGCUGAUAGGUAAGUCAUGGUACUAGAUGUCUCCUCUUGUUAGGUCCUACUGAAUUCUUAAGAUUCUCAAUAAUUAUAAUUGAGCCAGUUGGGGUAGCCAAAAGAGUAACAGAAAGUAUAUGUAGCGAUGAUAAAUCAGGCCUUGGAAUUUUCCGCCCAGGUGCAAAAUUGCUAUUAAUUUCAGUCUUAUUUGACACAGUAGAAUUUAGUAGUGUAUAGUAUAACAAAAUGAUUGUGCAGAAUUUUAUUUAGCUCUUUGUGUUGUAAAGACUAGAGUCACCUAUUCCAAAAAUUAAAAAAAAAAUGUUUAAUGUAGCAGUAUACAUAUAUUGCUUGGGAAGAUAGUGUCUCAGAAACCCAAGAACAGGGUGAUAAUCCCUGUGGAAAACGGAUCAGGAUCUGAAAAAUGCUUUGGAUUCCAAGACAAGUGUGAGAUCCUCAAAAGUAAGAGCCUAUUAAUUUCACUAGGUGUCCAACUUUAAGGUGAAGACAGUAUGCAUCCAGUGUCUGCUCUAUGGCUACCAAAUGGCCUGCUUUUUCUGUGUUUUCCACUAUUCAGAUUCCUGGAAGAGGCAUUCUGGUCUCUUUUGGUGGAAAGAAGACAAAGACCCUCUUUAUUUAAGACCACAUCUUUUGAAUGUCUGUGAAUGUCAAUGAAGCUCGAGAUACCUUCUCUAGCUUAGGUAUAUAUUAUGAAUUGGAUGUUUCUGUCACCCACCAAAUACAUAUAUUGAAGUCCUAACCCCCAAUGUGGCUGCGUCUGGAAAGAGGGCCUCGAAGGAAGUAAUUAAGGGAGAGCCUAUGGGGGUUUCCAGACUCACAGGCCUUCCAGGCAGAGGCUUCUUCUCCUUCCAGCACCCAGGAGAGCCUAGCCAUUCAGAGCUCUCCACACCAUGACCGGGUCCCAAUGAGCUGUCAAAGAUACAUAACAGUCUAAGGGUCUCAUAGGUGAGGGGGAAAAACAGGCAGAAAAACUACAGCACAAGUCCAGUGCAAGAUAAUUGUUAGAAAAGCAGAAGAAUGAUUUUUUUUAAAAAAGAUUUUAUUUAUUUAUUUGACAGAGAGAGACACAGCGAGAGAGGGAACACAGCAGUGGGAGGGGGAGAGGGAGAAGCAGGCUCCCCGCAGAGCAGGGAGCCCGAUGCGGGGCUCGAUCCCAGGACCCCGGGACCAUGACCUGAGCUGAAGGCAGACGCUUAACGACUGAGCCACCCAGGCGCCCCGAGCAGAAGAAUGAUUUAAAGAAACAAAAGAACUGCUGUUACAUGCAGCAGAUACAAGGCUUCUUUGAAUUUGACAGCUCUAUUCCUGCAUUAAACAACCAUGCAGGUCAACUGAAGAUAAGGAUGGUUGUUAUUGAUGCUUGGGUUGGUCGGUGGCUUGAGCGGCGGCACGAACAACCUCACAGCGCAAAGGGAAACCGCGGCUGUGGGCAGCCCGGGGGCAGCCAGAGCCCCAGCCGCCGGGUGAGGCCGAGAGCACGCGCGGAACCGCACAGGCGCCUGCGCGGAACCGCACAGGCGCGUGCGCACAGAGGAGGCCGUGUCCCGGGGCUGUCACGUGUUCCAGUGCUCUCAGCCCACCAGAUGGUACGGUAUGGCCUCCUCACCUGUACCCGGAGGGGGAGCGUCGCCGGGUGGUCUUCGGUGACCUCUGUGUGCAACGCGUGCCCCCAAGGAGGCCUUCGGCUUCGAGGUGACCGUGGUCACCACCGUCCGUCGCACCAUCAUCCUCACGGCCCUGGCCUUUCUCACUCGCUGCGUGAGGAGGAGCGAGCAGCGAUGGGUAGGGCCACCCGGCUGUGGCUCCAGCUGGGAACCGGGCAGUCGGAGACGGUGCAGGCCGCCCACCUGGGCCCUUGGUAAGGGACUGAAGAGCAGCGGCGGCGGCGGGGAGCCCGGGAGCGGGCCCGGCCGCAGCUGCCCCGCAGGCUUGGGCGAGGGCGCUGGAGGGCUGGCUGGCAUGGACCAGCAUCCCUGGGCCGGCGGUCCCGGAGGCUCGCCCCGCGUGCAGGACAUGGUUCCCUGGGAGAACCUGGGCGCACCCCGCCUGCCCCCUGGCCCCCAGCGCGCGGCCUGCGUCCUCGGGGUGACGGAGCCAGAGGCCACACUGGGAGGGCCAGGCCGACCCCGCCGCCUCGCCGCCUGCACCGGACGUGCGUCCCGCCUAAGACUGGUCGGUGAAAUCAGCUUCGGGCGCUGGGGAUCCCGCAGGGUGCUGUGCUGGGGACUGCAGCGGGGUGUCCUGUCCCGGGGGAGCUCAGGCGGAGCAGCUUUUCUGGAAGCUUCCUUGAAACCGUCGCCGAGGUUCUGGAACCAGCUGCAGCCCCGGUCUAGCCGGGCUUCUUCAGAGUGACUGCGGGACGUUUUAAGCAAAUCUUGCUCUGCGUGGUGGAGUAGGAAGCCGGCAGCCGACUUCUCACAGCUAUUGCUGGCUGCCCCAUCUUCCCCCGCAGGGCAGGGCCUGUGCCUGCAAGCAGGGACCCCUGGGGUGCUGCAUCCCUUAUCUGCAAGGUGAGGGGUGUGGAAGAAAAAUUCUAAUACUGGAAAAAAAAAAAUGUAGGCAACUUGGAUGUAUGUUCUGAGGAUUCCUACCAUGGCAGUAAUUGGCAUUUCUGAAGUGAAAAAAGACCAGAUGGAAGAGAAGCAGAUUUAAACAAAUACUAGAAAGACAUUUACCUGAAGUAAAUACAUUCCUGAGAUUGUAGGUUGUAAGGACUGCCCGAAUUACAGGCUUUACUGGUAAGAAAAGACCUAGUACUAGUAAAAUCCUGGAACUUUGAAUAAUGAAGAGAAUAUUAUGAGCCUCUAGGCAGGAAGAACAACCAACCAACGAAAGCAAAUAUCAGUGAAGCAUUGGACAAUGGCAUCCUGUCUAAUCUUUAAAAUUAAUUUCCUGAAAGCUGACAGAUAGUGGAAUAGCCUCAGUCAGAGAGCUGCAAGCUAAGGUAUUCUGAAGUAAGGUAUCAUUGGCCUGAAUGAUAGAGAGACAGAUAGGUGAACAUAAAUAAGAAUGCACCUUUAAAAAAGCCCUGUGAAAAUGACUGAACAAUGAUUGAACCAAAACGGAAAUCUUAAGAUGGAGAAAAUAAAGAGAGCGAGAGAGCACAAGCAGGGGGAACAGUAGAGGGAGAGAGAGAAGCAGGCUCCCCACUAAGCAGAGAGCCCUGUCCCAGGACGCUGGGAUCAUGACCUGAGCUGAAGGCAGAUGCUUAACCGACUGAGCCACCCAGGCGCCCCUAAAACCUUUUUUCUAAAGCAGGCAUACCUAUAACACCCUAAAUAGCAUUUAUAAAUAUGUGUUUUAUAUUUCGUUUGAAAUAGCUGAUGGAAGAGUAAAAGUAAAGGAUUUACUUUUGGUAUUAGAAGACAGUCUGUUUCAGACUGAUGAAAUAAAUGUUUUCUUCUUAUAUUUAUAUAGUGAUUGUUUGCUUUUGCUUCAUGUUCUUUUAUUUCCCAUGUUUGGAAAACCCUCUGUUGAAAAUUAAAACUAGACGGUAGAAUGCUUUUGAAGGAAUAUGGAGAAUGAAAGCCAGACAUUUUCUAGGACACAAAUGUCUCUGCCUGGAUCAAUUUCAGAAGAUCUUCUUUAGAAGAAAAAUUAGGGAUGUUCUUUUGCUAUCUGUCUGCUAAUUAUCUGAGGCAUUUGAGAACUUGGCAUUGUUCAGAGAGGUUUCAACAUUUAGGUCUGUCAACUCUUAAAUUCAUAUUCCAAUUUUGGAAGUAUUUUUAACUCAAGUUUUGGACCAAGGUAUGAGAUGUAGAAUUUCUGUUCAUAGUUUUCCAGGCAAAAUCUCGUCAAACCUCAUUUGAGAUAAUGUGACAGAGGUGUGGACUUCUCCCAUCUCACCUCCAACUCCUCACCACAGUAAUGAAAAAUGUCAGCACUGAUAGAUUUUUCUUUGAUAAACAGCUCGACUUUUAUGCUCAGCUGUAUUGAAUUUCAAAGAAGCAUAUAUUGCCAGUUUCAACUACUGCAGAAUAAUCUACAGGAGAACCAAGCAUAAAUCUUCAGAAACAAUUCAAAUAUCAGUAACCGUCUUUGGAGCAGAUGACCUAUAACCAGCUUUGAAAAGGAAAUUAAAAUAUUUAAACAUUGGAGACAUACCCAGUGUGCUCACAGGAUAAAUGCAAAUUCAAAUUACAAUAAGAUAUUAUUCUACUAGUUUGUCACUGAAAAGUGCAUAUUGACAAAGGCAUGGAAAAACAAGAACUCUCAUGUGUUACUGGUGGAAAUAUACUCUUCCAACUUUUUUGGAAGGUAGUUGCCAAUAUCUGUAAUAAUUUAAAAUAAACAGA